rnacentral:rRNA from 1 species
AUUGAACGCUGGCGGCAGGCCUAACACAUGCAAGUCGAGCGGAUGAAGGGAGCUUGCUCCUGGAUUCAGCGGCGGACGGGUGAGUAAUGCCUAGGAAUCUGCCUGGUAGUGGGGGAUAACGUCCGGAAACGGGCGCUAAUACCGCAUACGUCCUGAGGGAGAAAGUGGGGGAUCUUCGGACCUCACGCUAUCAGAUGAGCCUAGGUCGGAUUAGCUAGUUGGUGGGGUAAAGGCCUACCAAGGCGACGAUCCGUAGCUGGUCUGAGAGGAUGAUCAGCCACACUGGAACUGAGACACGGUCCAGACUCCUACGGGAGGCAGCAGUGGGGAAUAUUGGACAAUGGGCGAAAGCCUGAUCCAGCCAUACCGUGUGGGUGAAGAAGGCCUUCGGGUUGUAAAGCCCUUUUGUUGGGAAAGAAAAGCAGCAGGUUAAUACCCCGCUGUUCUGACGGUACCCAAAGAAUAAGCACCGGCUAACUUCGUG